CGGCCGCGUCGACGGCGGCGCGCCUAACACAUGCAAGUCGAACGAAGUCAAGAGGAGCUUGCUCUUUUUGACUUAGUGGCGAACGGGUGAGUAACGCGUGAGGAACCUGCCUCAAAGAGGGGGACAACAGUUGGAAACGACCGCUAAUACCGCAUAAGCCCACAGCUCCGCAUGGAGCAGAGGGAAAAUAUUUAUAGCCUGAAGAUGAGCUCGCGUCCGAUUAGCUAGUUGGCGGAAGUAAACGCCCACCAAGGCGACGAUCGGUAGCUGGUCUGAGAGGACGAUCAGCCACACGUGGGACUGAGACACCGGCCCAGACUCCGUACGGGAGGCAGCAGGUAGGGGUAACUUUUCCCGACAAGUGGGACGAAACGCCUGGACGGAGACAACGACCGCGGUGGGGGAAGAAGGCUCUUGGGUUGUAAACCCCUUUUCUCUGGG
rnacentral:rRNA from 1 species